UGGGCAAAUGGCGCAGUUGGUAGCGCGCAUCCCUUGCAAGGAUGAGGUCAUCGGUUCGACUCCGGUUUUGUCCAG
rnacentral:tRNA from 1 species